rfam:Pan troglodytes isolate Yerkes chimp pedigree #C0471 (Clint) chromosome 1, whole genome shotgun sequence.
GCUGGGUGUGGUGGCGCAUGCCUGUAAUCCCAACUACUCAGGAGGCUGAGGCAGGAGAAUCGCUUGAACCUGGGAGGCAGAGGUUGCAGUGAGCCCGGAUUGUGCCACUGCACUCCCGCCUGGGUGACAGAGCGAGACUCCGUCUCAA